AGUGCCGGGAUUGAAGGUGUGAGCCACCGCACCUGGCCCAUAUUCCUUUUUAAAGACAGCAUCAGAGUUCAUCAUAUAGAUAUUCUUUAAUUAUAUAAUUAAUCCCUUUUGUGGGCCAUUUGUGGGGGUGCUCAUUUUUUUCUUAUUAGAAAGAAAGCUGAAAUCAAUGUCUUGUACAAAUACCUUUUGUGUACUUCUCUGGUUAGCGCUUUAAGAUAAAGACUUAAAAGAGGCAUUGUUAGCUCAAAGGAUAUAUAUAUUUUCACAUAUGUAGUUAAGCUGACCUCUGGAAAUUUAUCAUAUUAUGCAAAUCCUGUCAGCUGCUUUUCAGGGGCAGGAAUGCAGUGGGGCAGGGAGGCCAUAUUUACUUGUGACACAGGAUUUUUCUUGGCCACUUUGCCAACUGGGGACUUCCAUGGCCAGUGACCCCCUCCCUGCCCAGACGUCGCUUAGCCCGGCCUGCCUCUGGAGGCGCCCUGCCCACUUGGCCCACCAGUGUUAUAGCUUGUACCCAAGUUUGGUGAUUCCUAAGCUCUUGUGUCAUGUCCAAGCAGAAAGAGGAUAUGCUGCUGACAAUUGAAGGGUUGGUUGAUAUACAUUUUAGAGCUGGACUGCUCAAUGUGGUACCCAGGCUAGCAGCCACAAUAGCAGCACCUGAGAGAUGGUUUGUGAGCAUAUGUGUGAUGGGAGGACAAGAAUUGAGAAGAUGGGAUCAGGAAGAGGAGGGAGGACAUAUGAUUAUCUAUCUAUCUAUCUACACACAUGCAUAUAUACAUAUAUAUACACACACAUACAUAUGCACUAUGUGUAUGUAACUCCCUGUGAAAAUAUUUUCUAUUCAACAAAUUAAAAAAAAAAAACUUUAGUCAGAAGUGAAAUUACAUAGAAUUUGGGAUGCCUUGCCAUAAAUGGCCUCUCCAUAGUACCUCAUCCUGGCAUCACCUAAAUGGGAGGGUUCUACCCCAAUAGCUGAAAGCCCUGCCUGAGCCUUGGGGGCUCUGUGCUGUGGCCAGUGCUGGACUAUGCAGCUCUGGAUGCCCCCGACCUGCCGUUCCUCUGACCACUCAUGAGAAGCCCACAGGGGCAGCUCUGCCCCCUCACCUUCUACUUCCAUUGUUCCCACUUUUAGAGACCAGAAUUUUCCCCAAACAAGUCAACAUCUUGCUGUGUUUGCAGAAAACAUCCUAGCAUUGGAGGGACUACCAGAUGGAAAAAUAGCUCCCCUUUUCCAUUUAGAAGUGGCUUGUUUGAUUUCAAAAUAUAAACCCUGUCCUAAUAAUAAAAAUUACUUUUUUUCUCAGAGAUGUGCCAAAGUCCCUCACCAUCUAUCCACAGGAGAAUGUUCCAUUUUUUUGGAUGCCUCAUAGUCACCUGGUGUGGGGGACAGACCCUGUGGUGGCCCCACGGUCCGCACCUCCUGGUAUUCACACCCUUGUGUGCUGCCCUCCCCUUGAGUGUGGGCAGACCCUGUGACUUGCUUCAUAGUAGAAUGUGACAAAGAUGAUGGGCUGUCACUCCUGGGCUUACGUUACAUCGUGCGAAACCCGACUUACAAACAGAUUUGCUUUUGUGCUCUUGCUGGCCUUGAAGAAGCAGGCUGCCAUGUCGCGAAUUGUCCAUGCAGAGGCCACAUGGCACAUGAAGUGAGAACCAUAAAAGAAAAGUUGACAAAUGGUAAUGAUGCCUAGGAAAGAAAGAUAAAGAAAAAGGGGUGCAGGAAAAACAAGAGGCCCAGCACCACAGAGUUAAAAGCAGUGUUUUGCUGGCUAAUGCCAAACAUGGACAACCAAGCCACAGAUUUUUCCAUAGCCCGAGAAGUUUUGUUUUUCUCAAUGAAAAAUCAGAAGACUUUGCAUUAAAGCAUAUCAGUGAUAUAGAUAGCCUCAAAUAAUCAAAAAGAAUUUACAAAGCUGUACAACUCUGGUGUCAGUUAGCUUGGUGGAAUGACACUGUUGCUCUCUUUUCUGUCUAAUGGGCAUUUCCUUCUAAGAUAUUAGUUCUGCCUCCCACGUAUUGCUGCUACUGGAUGCUUGACGGCUGUGAGUCUCAGGCAUGGGGGACUGACGGUUUUGGUGUGUGUCUGGGUGAGCACAAAUUACCUGAAUGCUGAUGUGGUAGGCGUCUCCUGGAAAGAACACUGUCUUUAAUUGACUUAAUGUUAUUUUCACCUGGAUAAAAAUUUCAAAUUUUUAUACUAUUUGUAUUUUCUUUCCUUCUUUCUUCUUUCUUUUUUCUUUCUCUUUCCUUUCUUCUUUUCUUUCUUUCUUUCUUUCUUUCUUUCUUUCUUUCUUUCUUUCUUUCUUUCUCUCUUUCUUUCUUUCUUGCUCCCUGUCUCUCUCUCUCUCCCUUCCUUCCUUCCUAACUUCCUUUCUUCCCUCCUUCCUUCUUUCUUCCUUUUUCUUUCUUCUUUCUUUCCUUUCUUUUCCUCUUUCUUUCUUUUCUUUUUUCUUUCUCCUUUCUUUCUUUCUUUUUUCUUUCUUUCUUUCUUACUUUCUCUUCCUUCCUUCUCUCUUCCUUCCUUUUCUUCCUUCUUUAUUUCUCUCUGUCUCUCUCUUUCUGUCUCUCUCUGUCUCUCUCCCUCUCUUUCUGUCUCCCCCUUUUUUUCUUCCUUUUCUCUUUUCUUCCUUUCAUGGGUCUCGUUCUGUCACCCAGGCUGGAGUGCAGUGGUGCAAUCCUCGCUCACUGCAGCCUCAAACUCCUGGGGCUCAAAUGAUCCUCUCACCUCAGCCUCCUGAGUAACUGGAACUACAGGUUUACGCUAUCACACCUGACUAAUUUUUAAAUUUUUUGUAGAGAUGGGAUCUCACUAUGUUGCCUAGGCUAGUCUUGAACUCUUGGCCUCAAGCAAUCCUCCUGCCUCAGCCUCUCAAAGUGCUGGGAUUACAGUCACCCUGCCUGGCCCAUUUUUUUUUCUUUAGGGAGCUAGGGGUGAGUGUUUUGCAUUUUCGUUUCCUCUCUUGUACUGUCAGCCUGGCUUCUGUUAGCACUCCUGUGUCUGGAGGACCAGGAAAUCCCAGCCUAGAAGACUACCUAGAAGCUCCUUCCUGGCCAGAGAGGAGGACUGAGAACACCAUAGCAAAGGGCUGCUGUUCUGAGCAUGAGCAGAACCCCCCUUAGACCUAACUUCCUGCUUUUCCUCUAUGACAGCCUCGAGGUCUUUAGGAAAACGGUGACUCUGGAGCACAGCCCUGGAUCCCUGAUGGCAGGUGGAUGAAUCUGCUCCCCACCUGGAUGCUGCUAGUCCUUUCUCCAGGCUCCGUGACUGAAAAUGUGCUUUACUUGGCAAAAGCUGUUUCUCCUCAGAACUCUAGAAAUCAGAUCUUGGCCCACCUCUUUCAGGUAAGGACCUUCUUAAAAUUGAUGCUUGACCCAACUAAAUUUGAAUUACACCCUAUCCCUCUUGGCCUUGUAAAAUCGUAUGUAUAUAUUUUGAGACGAAGUCUUGCUCUGUUGCCUAGGCUGGCAUACAGUGGUGUGAGCUCAGCUCACUGCAACCUCUAACUCUGAGGUUCAAGUGAUUCUCCUGCCUCAGCCUCCCAAGUAGCUGGGACUUACAGGCACACACCAUCACGCCCAGAUAAUUUUUCUAUUUUUAGUAGAGAUGGGGUUUCACCGUGUCGCCCAGACUGGUCUCGAACUCCUGAGCUCAAGUGAUCCGCCCGCUUCAGCCUCCCAAAGUGCUGGGAUUACAAAUGUUAGCCACCACCCCUGGCCCAUAUAGAAUUACUGUAGAGUUCAAAUUCUGGUUCUUGCAUGUCCUGGCUGUAUGACCUUGUGCAAGUUACUUAACAUCUAUGUGCCUCAUUUUCCUCAUCUGCAAAAUUACCUCUCCUUGGUGUCAGCAUGAGGAUUAAAUAAGAAAAUGAAGUCUAAAGUUAGUAUCAUUGGAAAAAGAUAAAUCAGGUUCCCAUACUCAUGGCUUACUAAGUAUUAAUUGGGGGGAGGAGGUUAAUUCAUUGUGUGGUCAGGAAUUCCUUUCAUGGAUCAGUAAUCAACACAUAAGUCCACCUUCAUCUGGUUGGAAACUGUUGGUGAUGGUGGGGAGGGGUCAUUUGUAGGAGGAGAUAUUUAGUCAUGUGACUCAUCACUGUUCUACCACAUAUCCACAGGAGGCAGCCUUUAGGCUAGAACUAUGAAAGCAGUUAGGAUGGAAAAUUGGAAAGUGGUUCCAGGGGACAGCCUAGGAUAGAUACAGAUUUUCAAAAAUUGAGAUUUAAAUGUCAGCAACAUUGCUCAUUAAUUAACUUGUUUGACAAACAUUGAGUGCCAUAUCCUACCUUCUGGUCCCAUCAAAAGGAGUAAAACUCAGCCCUCAUCCUCAAGGAGCACUUAGAUCAAGCCAACUUGUUGGUUUUUAAAUUGUAUUUGAUAAUGCAUUGGACUUUGCUAAAUUCUAGAGAAUACUUACAAAAUCAAAUGCAUGUCUAAUCAUGUAAAAUGAGGGACACGUAAGAAUAACCGGGUGUAUUAGUUCAUUCUCAUGCUGCUAUAAAGAACUGCCUGAGAUUAGGUAAUUUAUAAAAGAAAGAGGUUUAAUUAACUCACAGUUCUGAAUGGCUGGGGAGGCCUCAGGAACCUUACAAUCAUGGUGGAAGGGGAAGCAAACACAUCCUUCUUCACAUGCUAGCAGGAAGGAUAAGUGCUGAGCAAAAGGGGGAAAAGCCUCUUAUAAAACCAUCAGAUCUUGUGAGAACUCAUUUACUAUCACAAAAAUAGCAGCAUGAGGGUAACCGCCACCAUGAUUCAAUUACCUCCCACUGGGUCCCUCCCAUGAAAUGGGGGGAUUAUGGGAACUACAAUUCAAGAUGAGAUUCGGGUGGGGACGCAGCCAAACCAUAUCACUGGAAGUGAAUAGAAUUUGUUGAGACAAAUUGAAGAGUAAUUUGUUUUAUUGAAGUGAGUGCAACUCAUUGGUAUUUUACUGUGUUCUGGGAUCCAGGAGCCCAGUUUUUAGAACCUCCUCCAACCAAGACCACUUCAUUAUUCCAGCAGACUCACUGACCCUUUCUUAUGUACAGUUUUCACUACUUUCCCAGAUCCCUUGUGUUUAGAUCUGGCAAAAAAACUAGUUCUAGCCAAAGAAAUAUGCACCCUGACCAAACUUAGACAAUUGAGUAUCUGCUUUCCACAGGCUCUUUCUAUUUCACAGCAACCUUGCAGGCCAUGUGUUAAAAAUGGUGCUAUACAAGAUGAAAGGAGUCUGGGAUCCUGAGUUACUGCUUGGGAGGGAAAUUUUCAAUCUAAAAUGGAUUGUGGUACAAGCAGAAAUAAACCUGUCAUGUGUUAAACCACAGAGGUUUGGGGGAUGUUUGUUACUGCAGCUUGUGUAGUUUACCCUGACUAAUAUACUCUGUUACCAUCCUUGCCAGGGCAUAUCUGGUCUUUCUAUCUAAUGCUACCUCUGGGUUUUAGUGGGAAAGAGGCCUCAAGGAAAGGGAUUCUGUAUAUCAAUGUUGACAUUUCUUCUUCCUAUAUAUAGCUGAACAUUGGAGAGAUUAUGUUUGUUUAGAAAAGUUUUCACAAAUCCUUUGUCAUGAAGAUUUCAGAGAAAGGUGACCAUGAAUUGUGUUAAGGUGACUUUUUAUACACCAAUUAAAUAACCUGAUUCAAUGAUUGCAGGGCAUGAAGAGAAACGACAACAGUCUUGGGUGUUCUGAUCUGAGUAGCUUGUCAGUGCCUAAUAGCUCCUUUGCUGCAUGUAGAUACAAAUGACCAAUCUUACACUUUUUUUUUUUUUUUUUUUUUUUUACCCUCUCAAGCUAGAUUUUCUUUCCUCAAGAAAAUGUGAAAAUGUCACUGGUCACAACCUCUAAGCCCUAUAAGUUUAUGUCUUUAUUUUAUGUUCUGGAGAGAAAAAAAAAUUCACAAUCAGAGAGAAAAGUAAUUUUUCCGUUACUAAUAAGCUACGUAUGUGCAAAAGGUUAGUUUUGGAAUUUCUUUCAAAGAUCCUGUGAUUCAAAGUAAAAUAUUUGGUAAACUAUAAUGAGGUAAUUGUGAGAAAUGAGACAUUAAAGUGUGUUUGGAGCCUUUUAUAUAUUUCAACUUUAAAAACAAUUUGGUGUCUCCAUCAUUAAAACUAAACUUUCACCUGCUACAGAUCUCCUUCUUUGCUCCAAAGACUAUUGUUUGUUUGAACAGGGUGGAAAGGAGGUUGUCAGAGGCCUUUUACACAGUGCAAAUGAGAGCAGAAAUCAGCGGGGCCACAAGUGUUAAUGAGAGAAUGGCUGCUGAUCAGAGCGUGGACUUGGCCACAGAAAGUUUAUCUUGAAUUUUAGAAGUUUUUCAGUUGGUUAUUGGUGGUUGCAAUAAAAUAAAUUACUUCUAAAAUAUAAAUAUUGAGUGAGUCAUAAUGUCUUAAAUGAUUAUGACCACAGUUUGCAGACCUUGUGUUGUAACUUAAACUUGACAUUUAAGCAUUCAGCCUGCAUUUAGAAUUUCUAAAUCUUAAUAUGUAUUACUGCACACACAUUUUGAAAAAUAUAUAGAUGAAUAUAUAGCAUUUAUACCAAUACAUAUAAACACAUAUUUCUUUUAAAAGAUAGGCAAAUACCAUCAUUUCUUCACUGGUCAACUCAUGGAAGUCAUGCUUACUAAUCAACUUUUCAUGGAUCUAACAUUUUAUGCAUUCAUCUAUAACACAGCUUUUCCAUUGGAUAAUAACUCAUUUUAUCUUCAGGACAAGUUUGCAUAUCAGGGAUCAGUAUCCUCAUUUUCUUUGCUUUUGAGAUGGAGUCUUGCUCUGUCGCCAGGCUGGAGUGCAGUGGCACUAUCUCGGCUCACUGCAACCUCCGACUCCCUGGAUCAAGUGAUUCUCCUGCCUCAGCCUCCCAAGUAGCUUGGAUUACAGGGACAUGCCACCACGCCCAGCUAAUUUUUUUGUAUUUUUAGUAGAGAUGGGGUUUCACCAUGUUGGUCAGGAUGGUCUCGAUCUCCUGACCUUGUGAUCCACCCGCCUCAGCCUCCCAAAGUGCUGGGAUUACAGGCAUGAGCCACCGCACCCAGCCAUCCUCGUUUUCUAGAUGAGGAAACUGAGGCUCAGCAAAUGACAUUGUUACUGAGACAAAUGUUUGAGCCAGGGAGGUGCUUGGAAAGACUAUGGGGCUCUGAAGAGGGCAAUUAAAUUAAAAUAAAGGGUGAGUUAUUGUGAAUAUAUGAACUACUCUAAAAAGAUGAGAAAUGUCACUCUCCCACUCAAAGUAGGGGAACUGGAUGAGUGCAGGACCCUGAAAUGUGGAAAGGCAUUUAAUGUAGGGAAUGAUGCUUAUAAGAGGGUUUGAAGAGCUAGAGCAGAAGGCAGAGGGCAUCCCCUGUAACUAUUAGCCAAUAACUCCCCACUCUUCCUCUUCCAAGCCACUGGUAGCUUCUAACCUACUUUCUCUCUCUAGAAACUUGCCUAUUCUAAAAAUUUCAUACAAGUGGAAUAAUACAAUCAUACAACAUUUGUCAUUUUGUGCCUGGAUUAUUUCACUUUAUAUAAUAUUUCCAACAUGUUACAUGUUGUAGCAUGCACAGAACUUUCUUUCUUUCCAUGUCUGAAUAAUAUUCCGUUGUAUGGAUAUGCCACAUUUUCUUUAUCAAUUCAUCUGUUGAUAGAUGCUUGGGUUGUUUCCAUCAGAUUGUCUUUUGAUAUGACACAUACUAUCCUCAGAUCUACCUCCCUCCCUUCCUCUUCCCCAAAGCUGCUCAACCAGAGGCUUGGGUAACAAUUGGCCACACCCAACUUAUCUAAGUCUGUUCUGUCCUCCAUUCAGAUGGGAGCCCACCCUUCAAGACGACUAUAUAGAAAAUAAAACUAUUGUCCUGAGAGACCAUCUUUCUUGCUAUUUGGCACCCACUAUAAAUCCUCAUGGGCUAUAUCCUUUUGAGAGACACCAUCAUUUUAAAUUUGAAGAUGUGCUAUUUAUUGUUGUUUUUCAGCUCCAGACUCACCCUUCUAAAUUCUGCUCUAUGCUAUUGGAUUGGAGCAGAGGUUUUACAAACCACAUGUUCACUUUCCCUGCAGGCUCCAUGUUAGGCUCUGCCAAGAGGGUGUACUGAAGAGAAGCUAAAAGAUUGGAGCAGAAAAAAGGAACCUGCUCCUUCUUGUUUGCUUCCUGUCCCUCUCUGCAUCACCCAAGCAUGCUUCUUCACCCCAGCAGCAGCAGUUCUUUCACACAGUAGGAGCUGCAUGCAGUGAGCGGUGUUUCCAACAGUUAUAGAUCCUACCUCAUUGUACCACUCCCCCACCUUGAGGACCAGCACUAGCUGGCAGGAGCAUCUUCCUCACAGAACUGAAUUUAAGCCCUACAAGGUCCCUCUUGUUAGCCCAGAAACAUCAUCAGCAGUUGGGCAGGGCCCUGUCCUCUGAGAUCUGAGUUUCUGUUCCUCAGAGUCAUUACAUUAUAUGUUUUAAAAAUAGCUCUUCCCUUUGUUUCUGCCAGCCCUAAGGUGGUGCUGCUUCUUGUAGUUGCUACUUCCAUCUGUGACUUUCCAGUUAACUUUUAAACAAUUUUAUAACUAGUUAACAGCUAUUUGUGUUAAAUUCUCACUUUAAGUCCUCGGUUAUAAGGUGUCUUCUCCCCGUCCUCUCCCAGACCAUACACAAUACAUGGACAUCGCACACAUACUGCAUGUGCAUAUGGAGUAGGAACAUUCCCAAUCAAGAUAGUGAAUAUACUGUGGAGGGCUUUAGAGUGAGGCCAGACCCCAUGGAUCCAGGGACCUUCCCUGAAAAGGACUGAAGCCCACUGUGGUCAUUGAAGAACAGUGGAAAGCUCUGGUGGGAACUGCGCAAGUAGAAGUUCCUCCAGAUCAGGAACCUUUUCUGUCUCUUGACAAGGUAAUAUUGAGGAGUCUAAGAGAGGGUGGUCAAGGUCAGGCAGUCCCAGGUGAUGGAAGAAAGGUGGCUUCUGAGGAAUGGUAUCAGACCUUCAUGUCUCCUUUCUUCUGUGGUGCCCAUAAACAAAGAUUGGCUUAAACAUACCAACUUAGUUCUACUAGGGCAGAUUAGGUGAUGGGUCCUGUACCCAUCUAACAUUAGAUACCAGAAUCAAAUGUUAGAAGGGAGCAGUGACUCCCUCCCCCAGGGGUGAGUGGCAGCUAUAAUUCAUAAGAACUUUCCACUGGGGAAGGUGAAUCGGUCCAA
rnacentral:lncRNA from 1 species